rnacentral:rRNA from 1 species
CCCUUAGAUGUCCUGGGCCGCACGCGCGUUACACUGAUGCAUUCAACGAGCUUAUAACCUUGGCCGAGAGGCCUGGGCAAUCUUGUUAACGUGCAUCGUGAUAGGGAUAGAUUAUUGAAAUUAUUAAUCCUGAACGAGGAAUUCCUAGUAAACGCAGAUCAUCAAUCUGCAUUGAUUACGUCCCUGCCCUUUGUACACACCGCCCGUCGCACCUACCGAUUGGAUGGUCCGGUGAAGCCUCGGGAUUGUGGUUCUUGCCGCUUUAUUGUAGCGUGACCGCGAGAACUUGUCUAAACCUUAUCAUCUAGAGGAAGGUGAAGUCGUAACA